GUUUUCGUGGCCUAGUGGUUAGGGCGUCUGUCUUACAAGAGUCUCGAGUAUCUUGACUUUGAUGAUCACAGAAGAUCGCCGGUUCAAUCCCGGCCGGAAACA
rnacentral:tRNA from 1 species